CUGUGAUGGCUGUGAAGGACGUGGGUGGCAGGUAACACGAUGAUGGACCCAGUUAGGAUUUCUCUGGGAUAGAUCUACCACAAUCAUGGAGACCGAAGGGCGUUGCAUGCCGGACACCAGGACACGUGUACAAGGAAGGGGCACUCAGCAUCGGCACCGGGUACGGCGACUCCGACUUUAGUGCCACUGAGGGCGAUCACCAUCAAGGGACAGGUCAGCCACAAUCAUGGGGCCCGAAGGAAGCUGCAUGCCGGCAGCGGGGCGACAACCACCAGGACACAUGGCCGAGGGAGAGCUCUCAAUGUCGGCAAAAGAUGACAUGGUUGUGUACACUGCACUCUCAUUUGCUCCCAAAUCAAGCCUUGUCAAUGUCACACGCUGAAUGGAGCUGCUAACAUGGAAAUGCGAGGGCGAUGUAGUGCUGGUCAGAAGGUGCUUGCUUCUCUUAUAAUUACACUAGCACUUGGAGAAACAUCCUGUAUGAAUUGUGGCGUAUUAGCUUUGGAUGGGCCGAAUGCAGGGAACCAAGCUGCUGCACUAUUGAGGUUCUAGGAUCAUAUUGGUGCUUUGGAGCAUGAGAUGCAAGUUGGUGACUUAUAGCAUGAGAUGCUUGUUUGGAUGAAGCAACAAGGACCUGACAUAAACUCCCUCGCCGACCGUCGCAUCGCCUCCGGCUUCUUCGGUGUCCAGCAUGAUGCAGCUGCGGCUCGCUACGGUCGUGGCCAAUGUAAUCUGUUGGUCCUUGUAAUUAUUGUCGAGUAGUCGUCGCCAUAGUGGCAAACAUCAUGCAGAUCUUUCUUGAACAGCACGAGAGGCCAAUUGAGAGCCUCAUGUAGGUUCUGUAUAUAGGGAUACAUGCUGUCUGUUUAUCUGCGAUUUGGUUUGCCAAGUAUUAGUAACCGUGUGUGUGUGUGUGUGUGUGUGUGUGAAUAU